UUGGGGUCAAUAGAAAAAAAGAAAAAGAAAAUGGACUUGCUUCUGUAGAGAAGGGGUGUGGCAUGCUAAUGGUGCCGCUCAAGCAUUUGUUGAAGUCUGUGACAUCACUAUGUCACUGAAAGUCCAAGUUCUGGUUUCCCCUAACAGGGCUGAAUGAUAUGAGACCUUGCCGCGAUCCCGAGAUGCGCAUCAAGCUCUAUGUGGCCUUCAGUCUCCUGUGGGCAGAGCACAUGGAGGCUGCAGUCACCCAAAGGCCAAGAAAGAAGGUCACAGAAACAGGAAAAAAGGUGACUUUGGAUUGUCACCAGACUUACAACCAUGACAACAUGUUCUGGUAUCGGCAGGACCCAGGGCACGGGCUGAGGCUGAUCCAUUACUCAUAUGGUACUGACAAUAUUGAAAAGGGAGACAUCCCCGAUGGGUACAGCGCUUCCAGAUCGAGUAAAAAGGAGUUCUCUCUCAUACUGGAGUCGGCCAGCCUCUCCCAGACAUCUGUGUACUUCUGUGCCAGCAGUGAUGCCACAGUGCUGCACAGCUGCCUCCUGUCUGCACAUAAAGUCGAUAUAGGAAGCCUGAGAUUGCCUGUGUGGUCCAGGACGCCCCUGCCUCUGUAG